rnacentral:rRNA from 1 species
CCUACGGGGGGCAGCAGUGAGGAAUAUUGGUCAAUGGCCGGAAGGCUGAACCAGCCAUGCCGCGUGAAGGUCAGUGCCCUAUGGGCGUUAAACUUCUUUUGUGCGGGAGCAAUAAUGGUCACGUGUGGCCAGACGAGAGUACCGUACGAAUAAGCAUCGGCUAACUCCGUGCCAGCAGCCGCGGGAAUACGGGGGAUGCAAGCGUUAUACGGAUUUUUUGGGUUUAAAGGGUGCGUAGGCUGUGAGGUAAGUCAGCGGUGAAAUGCCCCGGGCUAACGGGGUGAAGUGCCAUUGAUACUGCCUUGCUGGAAUGCGGAUGCGGUGGGAGGAAUGUGUGGUGUAGCGGUGAAAUGCAUAGAUAUCACACAGAACACCGAUUGCGAAGGCAUCUCACGAAUCCGCGAUUGACGCUGAUGCACGAAAGCGUGGGUAUCAAACAGGAUUAGAUACCCGAGUAGUC